AAUGAUCGCGGCUUGCCGGUUUCGGCAAGGUGAGGAAAGUCCGGGCUUCGCAGGGCAGGAUGCCGGAUAACGUCCGGUGGAGGUGACUCCAAGGCCAGUGCAACAGAAAGAUACCGCCGUCGAUGACGGUAAGGGUGGAAAGGCAGUGUAAGAGACUACCGUGUGGCUGGUGACAGCCAUAGCCAUGUAAACCCCAUCCGAAGCAAGACCAAACAGGGAACGAUAGACUUGCCCGGUCUGUUUCCAGGUAGGUCGCUCGAGGCUGACGGCAACGUCAGCCCUAGACAGAUGAUCAUUC
rnacentral:RNase_P_RNA from 1 species